rnacentral:piRNA from 1 species
UGAAUGUUUAAAGCUAAAGCCCCAGUG